rnacentral:rRNA from 1 species
UGAGGAAUUUUGCGCAAUGGGGGCAACCCUGACGCAGCAACGCCGCGUGAGUGAUGAAGGCUUUCGGGUCGUAAAGCUCUGUCGAGUGGGAAGAAACAGUUCAGGUUAAUAUCCUGAACCUUGACGGUACCACUAAAGGAAGCACCGGCUAACUCCGUGCCAGCAGCCGCGGUAAUACGGGGGGUGCAAGCGUUAUUCGGAAUUAUUGGGCGUAAAGGGUGCGUAGGCGGUUUUGUAAGUCAGAUGUGAAAUCCCGGGGCUUAACCUCGGAACUGCAUUUGAUACUGCAAGACUUGAGUAUGGGAGAGGGAAGCGGAAUUCCUGGUGUAGAGGUGAAAUUCGUAGAUAUCAGGAGGAACACCGGUGGCGAAGGCGGCUUCCUGGACCAAUACUGACGCUGAGGCACGAAGGCGUGGGGAGCAAACA